ACAAUAUGCAGUGUCUUUGGUUCUCGCGAGUCGAGCUAAGAGGGAAGCUGGUGUAACUCCAGCACUGCCCCCGCAACUGUUACCGGCAAGUUGCUGCCCAAAUUGCCACUGUCGUGCGUUUCACUACGGGAAGGCGGCGCAGCAAUGCUCGAGUUGGAAGUCAGGAGACCUGCCGAGGCGACAUAUGACGA
rnacentral:ncRNA from 2 species